GCUUUGAAAGUGAGAAUUGGAGGUGAUCAAAUCAUAUUUCAAUUCAAAGAAUUGGUUUAAAUUUGGGUUUGAUUUGGUUUCCUCCAAUAUCUCACCUUCAACUG
rfam:Ananas comosus cultivar MD2 ACMD2_Scaffold_3423, whole genome shotgun sequence.